UACGUAGGGUCCGAGCGUUGUCCGGAAUUAUUGGGCGUAAAGGGCUCGUAGGCGGUUCGUCACGUCGGGAGUGAAACUCGGAGCUUAACUCCGAGCCUGCUUCCGAUACGGGCAGACUAGAGGUAUGCAGGGGAGAACGGAAUUCCUGGUGUAGCGGUGAAAUGCGCAGAUAUCAGGAGGAACACCGGUGGCGAAGGCGGUUCUCUGGGCAUUACCUGACGCUGAGGAGCGAAAGUGUGGGGAGCGAACAGG
rnacentral:rRNA from 1 species